CAAGCUGGUCCCAGUGGAGUGGCACCAGACUGCUCCAUGGGGGCAGGACAUGCAGCAGGCCACCAGACUGAGCUCCUCAGUCCCAUGGAGAUCUCUUGGAGAUAGCAGUAAUGAUCAGAAGCACUGACUUUAUACUGCACUGACUCCACGCAGAGCUGAAUGUGCAAGACCAGGCUCUCCUGUUUAACAUCACUGACACAGGAGCACAGGCCGUGGAUAUGGGCAAGGAUUUGGAGAUUAAAG
rnacentral:lncRNA from 1 species